rnacentral:rRNA from 1 species
GAAUACCAAGGCGAUCGGGAGAACUGUGGUUAAGGAACUCGGCAAAAUACCUCCGUAACUUCGGGAGAAGGAGGGCCCUUUUGGGUGUAGGACCUUGCGUCCGAAGCCUGGGAGGGUCGCAGAGAAUAGGGUGAAGCGACUGUUUACUAAAAACACAGGAGCGUGCUAAGUCGUAAGACGACGUAUACGCUCUGACGCCUGCCCGGUGCCGGAAGGUUACGGGGAACGGUUAGCCCGCAAGGGCGAAGCUGUGAACCUAAGCCCCGGUAAACGGCGGCCGUAACUAUAACGGUCCUAAGGUUGCAUCCCAAUUGUCCUAAUUGGGAUAAGUUGCCCCUAUCGGGAGUGAUCCCGAAUAGUGCAGCUGGCUAAGUGCUGGAAUAACCGAGUAUCCGGCAGUACUCGUUCCUUGUCACACCCCCUCUAUAGAGUGGGCUGACGAUGAGCAGUGACAAUCUGUCCGGUGCGGUCAAUCAGCAGGAAAGGCCAGGUGUCGAGCAGUGGGCCGUCGGCUUCGUCGACGGCGAGGGAUGCUUCUCGAUCUCGGUGGUGCGCAACAGCGGCUGUCGCUCGGGUUGGCAAGUCCAGCACGAGUUCUCAGUCAGCCAAGCAGCACCGUCGAGGUCUGCGCUCGAACUCCUCAUCGAGGUGUUCGGGUGCGGUCACAUCAUCGAGAAUCGUCGGACCGACGACCACCGACAUGACAUGUUGCGCUUCUCCGUGAAGCGUCGCCGUCAUCUGGUGGAGAAGGUCGUGCCGUUCUUCGAAGAACGUCCACUGGUUACUGCGAAGCAAGCUGACUUCGAGCUGUUCGCCACCGCCCUGCAGAUGAUGCAGGCCGGCGAACACCUCUCGGAGCUCGGUCUUCGACGCAUCGCCUCCAUAACGGAGUCGAUGAAUCGAAAGCAGCGGUCUCGGUAUCUGGAAUCCUCAGAGGCCAUACGCCAGCCAACUCAGGUCGACGCCUGAGUUGAAGAGAUGGUCCGAGCUGCAUGGCGACAUGCAGAGGACUCGAGCGAAAUUCCUUGUCGGGUAAGUUCCGACCUGCACGAAUGGCGUAACGACUUCACUACUGUCUCAACCACAGACCCGGCGAAAUUGAAGUACGAGUAAAGAUGCUCGUUAGCUGCAUCAGGACGGAAAGACCCCGUGCACCUUUACUGCAGUUUGGUGUUGGGUUUUGGUACUAAUUGUGUAGGAUAGGUGGGAGACUUGGAAGCUCAGGCGCCAGCCUGGGUGGAGUCGCCGUUGAAAUACCACCCUGUUAGUGCUGGAACUCUAACUUCGGCCCGUUAUCCGGGUUGGGAACAGCGCCAGAUGGGCAGUUUGACUGGGGCGGUCGCCUCCUAAAGCGUAACGGAGGCGCCCAAAGGUUCCCUCAGGCUGGUUGGCCAUCAGCCGUCGAGUGCAAUGACACAAGGGAGCUUGACUGCGAGACUUACUAGUCGAGCAGGUGCGAAAGCAGGGCAUAGUGAUCCGGCGGUAGCGUGUGGAAGCGCCGUCGCUCAACGGAUAAAAGGUACGCCGGGGAUAACAGGCUCAUCUUCCCCAAGAGUCCAUAUCGACGGGAAGGUUUGGCACCUCGAUGUCGGCUCGUCGCAUCCUGGGGCCGUAGCCGGUCCCAAGGGUUGGGCUGUUCGCCCAUUAAAGCGGUACGCGAGCUGGGUUUAGAACGUCGUGAGACAGUUCGGUCCCUAUCCGAUGCAGCCGUAGGAAACCUGAGGAAGGCUGUCCCUAGUACGAGAGGACCGGGACGGACGCAGCUCUCGUGUGCCAGUUGUCCUGCCAAGGGCACCGCUGGUUAGCGACCUGCGGAAGGGAUAAGCGCUGAAAGCAUAUAAGCGCGAAGCCUGUUCCAAGAUGAGGUUUCCCACUGGGUUAACCAGGUAAGGCCCGUGGCCAGACGACCACGUUGAUAGGCCGGAGGUGUACGCACAGCAAUGUGUUCAGCCGACCGGUACUAAUCGGCCGAGGGCUUGGGGGC